CAGGGCCCAUGGGGCUCUGGUCAAAAGUAGUGCACUAUAUAGGGAAUAAGGUGCAAUGUAGGACUUGCCCUUGGUCUUUUCUGUCUCCUUUCGCCCCCCAGUACUCCAGUGAGAGCUCUGCUGGAGUUUCUAGUGCCUUCCAUUAUUUAUUUUGCUUUUUUUUUAACCGUUUUUUUGACAUGAUGGAGUAACGGAAGUGCUGUUGAUUUGUGCUUCGUUGAAGUGCUUUACUGGCUCUAGGGGAGAAAGAGGUAGAAGGAUAGGAAUGGAGAAGAGAAAGUUAGUCAGUGAGAAACGGUAUUUGUGUGAAUGUCUCAAGAGUUAAAACCAGAUUGUGGUGUUGUAUAGUUACUAACCAGGCAUAAUGUGUGUCUACUGUCAGUGGGGCAGUCUUAGGCUGUGUCCCCCAAAUGGCACCAUAUUCCCUAUAUAGUGCACUACGUUUGACCAGAGCCCUAUGGACCCUGGUCAAAAGUAGUGCACUAAAUAGGGAAUAGGGCGCCAUUUGAGACGUAGUAGGUGUGACUUAGCCCAAUGCCAUUUAAGGUGGGUAAAGUGAAAGUGGAGUUGAGGUAGAAGCCAGAGCUAGUGGAGGCAGAAGAGGAGAGGUCAGGGGAAUCUCUAUCUCCAACACAUGGCGGUAGUACUGUACACUGUGCUACUGGGUUUGACCAACAAGUGACUUCCUCAUCGCCAAUGCAAUGCUGGGGGUUCAAGCCCAGUUAUUUCAUCAUCUGCUUAAUGCUGCCCCAGUCUCUAAUGAAACCACCUGUGGCUUUUAGUGCAGGUUCGUAGCUUAUUGUAAAGUAGCAGACAGUCUCACCACUCACAAUGCAAAGAAAUGAAUGGUUGGUUCCAUCAUUAUUACAGUUUUUUGACAUGGAUAUUUUAGUUUUUGGUCGAUGUCCUUCUGGUCUUUUUGGAAACCUUACAAAAUGUUGUAAUGAUGAACAGUGUUUCUUUCUGGUUACCUGACAGUGUUGUAGACAGUAAAACUGGUCCAAUCUGUGGACACCAGAAUAGUUCAUUAAGCCCCACAUCCUUCUCAAAGCAGCUGUACAAACCAUUACCUGGGGUCAAACAUGUUUAAAAGUGAAUACCGUAGAAAAGUUAUUUCUAAUAAACACUCGUCACCUUAACUACUGAUUAGCUUACAAGGACUGCUAGAUCUAUCGCCUUCUGCUUACCGCUUCAGUCUCUACUCACUGUAAACAUGUCCGCUACGGGAAAUCACUUGAAAAGAUAUGGUAGAUUCUCAACCAUUUAAAAUUGUUAAAAACAGUUGGGGGGUCCUUUGUAAAACGUUGCUUUUGCCUGUUUUGUGGAUUGAACUUUUCGUACUUACCGGAGGCCCUCAGUACAGUACUUAGCAAGUUUGGUUGAAGCUGUGAACGUGACAAAAAUACACUUUGCUUAGUUAUUUUGUUGAUGAUGG
rnacentral:lncRNA from 1 species